UACGUAGGCAGCGAGCGUUGUUCGGAGUUACUGGGCGUAAAGAGUGCGUAGGUGGUUUUCUAAGUUUGGUGUGAAAUCUCCCGGCUUAACUGGGAGGGUGCGCCGAAGACUGGAAGGCUUGAGUAUGGGAGAGGUAAGCGGAAUUCCUGGUGUAGCGGUGAAAUGCGUAGAUAUCAGGAGGAACACCUGCGGUGUAGACGGCUUACUGGACCAUAACUGACGCUGAGGCACGAAAGCGUGGGUAGCAAACAGG
rnacentral:rRNA from 1 species